rnacentral:SRP_RNA from 1 species
GCCGAGUGUGGUGGCAGGUGCCUGUAGUCCCAGCUACUUGGGAGGCUGAGGUAGAAGAAUGGUGUGAAGCUGGGAGGCAGAGCUUGCAGUGAGCCGAGAUUGUGCCACUGCACUCCAGCCUGGGUGACAGAGUGAGACUCAGUCUCAAAAAAAAAAAAAAANNNNNNNNNNCCAGGCUGGAGUGCAGUGGCACAAUCUCGGCUCACUGCAAGCUCUGCCUCCCAGCUUCACACCAUUCUUCUACCUCAG